rfam:Salmo salar isolate Sally breed double haploid chromosome ssa04, whole genome shotgun sequence.
CCGGGUUGAGGUAGUAGGUUGUAUGGUUUAGAAUGACACCCUGGGAGUUAACGGUACAACCUUCUAGCUUUCCUUG